AGAGUUUGAUCCUGGCUCAGGAUGAACGCUGGCGGCGUGCUUAACACAUGCAAGUCGAACGGUGAAGCAGAGCUUGCUCUGUGGAUCAGUGGCGAACGGGUGAGUAACACGUGAGCAAUCUGCCCCUGACUCUGGGAUAAGCGCUGGAAACGGCGUCUAAUACUGGAUACGAGCUGCGAAGGCAUCUUCAGCAGUUGGAAAGAAUUUCGGUCAGGGAUGAGCUCGCGGCCUAUCAGCUUGUUGGUGAGGUAAUGGCUCACCAAGGCGUCGACGGGUAGCCGGUCUGAGAGGACGAUCACCCAGACUGGGACUGAGACACGGCCCAGACUCCUACGGGAGGCAGCAGUCGGGAAUUUUGCGCAAUGGACGAAAGUCUGACGCAGCAACGCCGCGUGAGGGAUGACGGCCUUCGGGUUGUAAACCUCUUUUCUCAGGGAAGAUGAUGACGGUACCUGAGGAAUAAGCCACGGCUAACUCCGUGCCAGCCGCCGCGGUAAUAC
rnacentral:rRNA from 1 species